rnacentral:tRNA from 1 species
GAGGCCAUAGCUCAGCUGCGGAGAGCGCCUGCCUCGCACGCAGGAGGCGGUGUCGGCGUUCGAUCGAUCCCCGCCUGGCUCCACCA